rnacentral:piRNA from 1 species
UUUUUAGUUGAUUCUUUUUUC